rnacentral:rRNA from 1 species
UGAGGAAUAUUGGUCAAUGGGCGCAAGCCUGAACCAGCCAUCCCGCGUGCAGGAUGACGGCCCUACGGGUUGUAAACUGCUUUUAUACAGGAAGAAAAAUCCCGAUGUAUCGGGACUUGCCGGUACCGUAUGAAUAAGCAUCGGCUAACUCCGUGCCAGCAGCCGCGGUAAUACGGAGGAUGCAAGCGUUAUCCGGAUUCAUUGGGUUUAAAGGGUGCGUAGGCGGCUUUUUAAGUCAGUGGUGAAAUCCUGCCGCUUAACGGUAGAAUUGCCAUUGAUACUGAGGAGCUUGAGUUCAGUUGAGGUAAGCGGAAUGUGUAGUGUAGCGGUGAAAUGCUUAGAUAUUACACAGAACACCGAUUGCGAAGGCAGCUUACUAAACUGACACUGACGCUGAUGCACGAAAGCGUGGGGAUCGAACAGGAUUAGAUACCCUGGUAGUCCACGCCGUAAACGAUGAUCACUCGCUGUAUGCGAUAUACCGUAUGCGGCCAAGCGAAAGCAUUAAGUGAUCCACCUGGGGAGUACGAUCGC